GGGGGUCCGUGGGGGGAGGGGCGUUACGUAACCCCCAGAGAUAUUUUUUCGCUAGAUUUAGCGGGGAAAUUAUUCGGCUAGAUUUAGCGGGGAAAUUUUUCGCUAGAAUUAGCGGGAAAAGUUUUCCGGUAGUUUUAGCGGGAAAUAUUUCCUCUAGAUUGAGCGGGGAAAUGUUUCAGGUAAAUUGAGCGGGAAAACUUUUCCGCUAGAUUUAGCGGGGAAAAUUUUCCGCUAGAUUUAGCGCCGAAAUUUUCCCCUAGAUUUAGCGGGGAAAUUUUUCAGCU
rnacentral:SRP_RNA from 1 species